rnacentral:rRNA from 1 species
CUUGGUCAUUUAGAGGAAGUAAAAGUCGUAACAAGGUUUCCGUAGGUGAACCUGCGGAAGGAUCAUUAAUUAACUGCGAAAUGCGUGUGUCUCUCGUAAGUCUGCAGUGUUUCUUCUGGGGACUCUGCAGCGCUGGUCCUCGCCUCCUUUUAGUUAUAUCCCAUCUGUGAACUUAUCCACUGUUGCUUCCGUGAGCCUGCUGUUCACACUCUCUGAGAGUGAACGCCUGAAAAGCCCUAGCCAUACUUAGGGGCGCACGGCAAUGGUACUACAACUCUGGUUUUAUGUCUUCCAUGUCUGAGUGGUAAACACAUCAAACAAGUUAAAACUUUCAACAACGGAUCUCUUGGUUCUCGCAUCGAUGAAGAACGCAGCGAAAUGCGAUAAGUAGUGUGAAUUGCAGAAUUCAGUGAAUCAUCGAAUCUUUGAACGCACAUUGCGCCUCCUGGUAUUCCGGGAGGCAUGCCUGUUCGAGCGUCAUCAAAACAUCCUCAAGCAACCUUGCUUGGUCGUGGAGGAAGAUGAUUUCCAGAUCAUCCCCUCUGGAAUUUCUCAGCCGAGACCGCAAUAACCUCAGGUGUGAUAACAUUACCUCGCUUGAAGGUUGUGGCGAGCUCUUGCUGUAUAGAACCCCCCAGCAUUUACCAUGUUUGACCUCGGAUCAGGUAGGGAUACCCGCUGAACUUAAGCAUAUCAAUAAGCGGAGGAAAAGAAACCAACAGGGAUUGCCUUAGUAACUGCGAGUGAGGCGGCAAAAGCUCAAAUUUGAAAUCUGGUACCAUUCGGUGCCCGAGUUGUAAUUUGGAGAGGCAACUUCGGAGAGGGCGUUGGCCUAAGUUCCUUGGAACAGGACGUCACAGAGGGUGAGAAUCCCGUGCUUGGCUGACUGUCCCUCUUCAUGUGAAGUGUCUUCGACGAGUCGAGUUGUUUGGGAAUGCAGCUCAAAAUGGGUGGUAAACUCCAUCUAAAGCUAAAUAUUGGCGAGAGACCGAUAGCGAACAAGUACCGUGAGGGAAAGAUGAAAAGAACUUUGGAAAGAGAGUUAAACAGUACGUGAAAUUGCUGAAAGGGAAACGCUUGAAGUCAGUCGCGUUGUUUGGGAAUCAACCUUGCUUUUGCUGGGUGUACUUUCCAGAUCGACGGGCCAGCAUCAAUUUUGACCGUUGGAUAAAGGUUGGAGGAAUGUGGCAUCUUCGGAUGUGUUAUAGCCUCCAGUUGCAUACAAUGGUUGGGAUUGAGGAACUCAGCACGCCGCAAGGCCGGGUACUUGUACCACGUUCGUGCUUAGGAUGCUGGCAUAAUGGCUUUAAUCGACCCGUCUUGAAACACGGACC